CAGCCGCCGCGGUAAUACGUAGGGGGCGAGCGUUGUCCGGAAUUACUGGGCGUAAAGGGCGUGUAGGCGGGUAAUUAAGUCAGGUGUGAAAGACCAGGGCUUAGCCGUGGGAGUGCAUCUGAAACUGAUUACCUUGAGGGCAGGAGAGGAAAGUGGAAUUCCUAGUGUAGCGGUGAAAUGCGUAGAUAUUAGGAGGAACACCAGUGGCGAAGGCGGCUUUCUGGCCUGUACCUGACGCUGAGACGCGAAAGCGGGGGGAGCAAACAGGAUUAGAGACCCGGGUAGUCCACGCCGUAAACGGUGGGCACUAGGUGUGGGGGGUUAAUCCCUCCGUGCCGAAGCUAACGCAUUAAGUGCCCCGCCUGGGGAGUACGGCCGCAAGGUUGAAACUUAAAGGAAUUGGCGGG
rnacentral:rRNA from 1 species